UUCACAGUUCAUAAGUGUGAAAAGCUAUGUAAAAAUGUGAUUAAAAUAUUUUAAAUAUUUUUAUUGACGGUUUCAGUACGGAUAGAAUUCUAUUUUGUAAAAAAAUUUACAGUGCAACAAAUUUUUAACAAUUUUUUAAAUAUAAACAAUAUAAGUUAUAUAUAAUAUGUGUAACAAUAGUUGUAAAACUAUUGAAAAAUAUAAUCUGAAAAUUCAAAACGAAAAUUUCAAGCCGUUUAAAAGUAAUAAACAAUUAAGUGAGUGUCCCUCGAUGAUGGGUCAGAGCGCGCUAGGGCAAAAACACGCCAUAUUGCAUCCGCCAUUUAAAAAUUUUUAAAAAUUGAUCUCAGAUUCGUAAUCAGCGACCCCGAAAACAUAGAUAAGGAAUGUCAAGGAGUAAAAAUUCGUGUCAUAGAAAGGACUGAGCUGGGAAUAUUUAAAGAUAAGUGCACGCAAGUAAUAUCGACACAUAAUUUUUCUUUACUUAUCAAGCUAUGUUGUAAAUUAUUACUUAAUUGUGUCAAUCAAAAUGUCUACUACUACUAUUUUUAUUUAGAACGUUUGAGGAAGAAACUCAUGUACGAAAAUUAAUCAUUUCUAUAUUUAUUAUAGAGCGAAGAAAAUUAUGAAACUUUAGCCGAAAAAGACAUUAUAAUUGCAAAUCUAUUAGCUCAAAGAAGCAGUGAAACUGAUAGAAGAACCGAUUAUGAAGAGUCGAUUCAAUUCUUAGUAUCCGGCAUGAAAACACUUCUUCUAAAAGAAAGCAAUAAUGGGGAGGCAAAUAACACCCAAGGAACUUCCCGUAACACUGAGAAGAUGUGUCAAAAGAACUGCACAAAAACGAAGAUUUACCAAUAUCAAAAUGCAAAAUGGAUGAGUGGAAUUAUCCAACUGUAAAAAGUCUAAUCCGAAAAACUUUAAAUAGUCAACGUUAUGCAGGAAAGAUAAAGCAAAUUUCAGAGGAGUUUAACAUUGAGCAUGAAUAAUUAUAUCUUAAAUAUUAUUUUACUGUUUUUAAUGUAGAACAUUUAAAUUAUUACUUUUAUAGAAAAAAGGAAAAAGUUUCUAAACAUCAUAUUGUAUUUUUAAAUUCUUAUUUUUACUGAAUGUACACGAAAAACUUUAAAUUUUACUUACUUUGUAAUAAUGCAUUUCGAUAUAAGAUGCUUGUGUUUAUAUAAUGAUCU